ACAGCCAUACCAUGCUGAAUAUAUCGGUUCUCGUUAGAUCACCGAAGUCAAGCAUCAUUGGGCGCGGUCAGUACUUGGGUGGGUGACCACCAGGGAACACCGCGUGCCGUU
rnacentral:rRNA from 1 species